rnacentral:piRNA from 1 species
GCAGUUAUUUCUGAGAUGACCCUGCUCAC